GCAGUCGAGCGAACAGACGAGGAGCUUGCUCCUCUGACGUUAGCGGCGGACGGGUGAGUAACACGUGGAUAACCUACCUAUAAGACUGGGAUAACUUCGGGAAACCGGAGCUAAUACCGGAUAAUAUAUUGAACCGCAUGGUUCAAUAGUGAAAGACGGUUUUGCUGUCACUUAUAGAUGGAUCCGCGCCGCAUUAGCUAGUUGGUAAGGUAACGGCUUACCAAGGCAACGAUGCGUAGCCGACCUGAGAGGGUGAUCGGCCACACUGGAACUGAGACACGGUCCAGACUCCUACGGGAGGCAGCAGUAGGGAAUCUUCCGCAAUGGGCGAAAGCCUGACGGAGCAACGCCGCGUGAGUGAUGAAGGUCUUCGGAUCGUAAAACUCUGUUAUUAGGGAAGAACAAAUGUGUAAGUAACUAUGCACGUCUUGACGGUACCUAAUCAGAAAGCCACGGCUAACUACGUGCCAGCAGCCGCGGUAAUACGUAGGUGGCAAGCGUUAUCCGGAAUUAUUGGGCGUAAAGCGCGCGUAGGCGGUUUUUUAAGUCUGAUGUGAAAGCCCACGGCUCAACCGUGGAGGGUCAUUGGAAACUGGAAAACUUGAGUGCAGAAGAGGAAAGUGGAAUUCCA
rnacentral:rRNA from 1 species